AACCGUUCAGAUUAAAACGAAAACAUGUACACUUGUCCAUACAGGAUCCUACAAUAUCUCCUUCUUUCUUCAUACCCAGUAACAUCCACUAGUGCUUCAACAUGACAGAAACAAAUUCCGGCGAAUUUCCAAACCACCGACACCGACUACUCACACCAUCGACGACGACCACUACCACCGGAGAAUCUUUCUUCCUAUAAUUUUUUUUCUUUUUUUGUACACACCACUACCAUAACCGCCACUCUCUAAAGAUUAAUAGCAUCACCUUUUGAUUUCAUAAAUUUAAAAAAUAGAAUUUCUAUCAUAAUUUCAAUUGGUAUGAAUAGGAAAUGAAUAAUUGUUAGAUCUGAAAGAAAACUUCAAAAUUUGUAUCUCUGCUACUGCUACAAUUUCACCCAAAUCCUCUUACUAUCCUUGUUGUUGUUCUGUUUUCUUUUUUUUUUUUUUUCAAAAGAGAGAAACAAAAAAUUAC
rnacentral:lncRNA from 1 species